rnacentral:rRNA from 1 species
UCGAACGCGUCUUGGUUAUUGAUGUUAAGUGCUUGCAUUUAAUUGAUUUAACAUUGAGACGAGUGGCGAACUGGUGAGUAACACGUGGGUAACCUGCCCUUGAAGUAGGGGAUAACACUUGGAAACAGGUGCUAAUACCGUAUAACAACCAAAACCACCUGGUUUUGGUUUAAAAGAUGGCUUCGGCUAUCACUUUAGGAUGGACCCGCGGCGUAUUAGCUUGUUGGUAAGGUAACGGCCUACCAAGGCAAUGAUACGUAGCCGACCUGAGAGGGUAAUCGGCCACAUUGGGACUGAGACACGGCCCAAACUCCUACGGGAGGCAGCAGUAGGGAAUCUUCCACAAUGGACGAAAGUCUGAUGGAGCAACGCCGCGUGAGUGAUGAAGGGUUUCGGCUCGUAAAACUCUGUUGUUGGAGAAGAACAGGUGUGAGAGUAACUGUUCACAUCUUGACGGUAUCCAACCAGAAAGCCACGGCUAACUACGUGCCAGCAGCCGCGGUAAUACGUAGGUGGCAAGCGUUGUCCGGAUUUAUUGGGCGUAAAGCGAGCGCAGGCGGUUUCUUAGGUCUGAUGUGAAAGCCUUCGGCUUAACCGGAGAAGUGCAUCGGAAACCAGGAGACUUGAGUGCAGAAGAGGACAGUGGAACUCCAUGUGUAGCGGUGAAAUGCGUAGAUAUAUGGAAGAACACCAGUGGCGAAGGCGGCUGUCUGGUCUGUAACUGACGCUGAGGCUCGAAAGCAUGGGUAGCGAACAGGAUUAGAUACCCUGGUAGUCCAUGCCGUAAACGAUGAGUGCUAAGUGUUGGAGGGUUUCCGCCCUUCAGUACUG